AUUGAACGCUGGCGGCAGGCCUAACACAUGCAAGUCGAGCGGAGCACCAGACGGGUGCGGAAUGCCUAUGAAUCUGAAUGGGAGUGAGGGAUGACGUCCAGAAACGGACGCUGAUGCUGCAACCUCUCACCAGAGCCUAGGUCGUAUUAGCUAGUUGGUGGGGUAAAGGCAUAGCAAGGCGACGAUCCGUAGCUGGUCUGAGAGGAUGAUCAGUCACACGUGAACUGAGACACGGUCCAGACUCCUACGGGAGGCAGCAGUGGGGAAUAUUUGACAAUGGGCGAAAGCCUGAUCCAGCCAUGCCGCGUGUGUGAAGAAGGUCUUCGGAUUGUAAAGUACUUGAAGUUGGGAGGCGUUACCAACAGAAGAAGCACCGGCUAACUCCGUGCCAGCAGCCGCGGUAAUUC
rnacentral:rRNA from 1 species